GCCGGGUGUGGUGGCACACACCUGUAAUCCCAGCUACUUGGGAGGCUGAGGCAGAAGAAUUGCUUGAACCCAGGAGGCAGAGGUUGCAGUGAGCCAAGAUUGUGCCACUGCACAGCCUGGGCAACAGAGCGAGACUCUGUCUCAA
rnacentral:SRP_RNA from 1 species